rnacentral:rRNA from 1 species
GGGCCCGCACAAGCGGUGGAGUAUGUGGUUUAAUUCGAUGCAACGCGAAGAACCUUACCAGGGUUUGACAUCCUGCGAAUCUCUUGGAAACGGGAGAGUGCCUUCGGGAACGCAGUGACAGGUGGUGCAUGGCUGUCGUCAGCUCGUGUCGUGAGAUGUUGGUUAAGUCCCGCAACGAGCGCAACCCACGUCUUUAGUUGCCAGCAUUUAGUUGGGCACUCUAGAGAGACUGCCGGUGAUAAGCCGGAGGAAGGCGGGAUGACGUCAAGUCCUCAUGGCCCUUAUGGGCUGGGCUACACACGUGCUACAAUGGCAGUGACAGAGGGACGCUACCAGGUGACUGG